rnacentral:misc_RNA from 1 species
GAAGAACGGACGAAGAAUGGUGAAGAACGACGGAAAAUAUUCACAAAAUUGCUCAUGGAAAUGUCUCGGAAGCGUUACGGAAGCACCUCGACUUGGAUUUUCUUCACGAAAACAUGUUUUUUCACCCAAAAUAGCUUAAAU